UGGCUCGUUAGCUCAGCUGGUUAGAACGUCGUGCUAAUAACGCGAAAGUCACGGGUUCGAUCCCCAACGGACCAA